AGAUUAGACAAGAAAAUGUUUCUUAUUCUUAAUUUGGGUUCUGUCGCUUCUGAAAUAAAGGAUUGUCUUGAGGCAACUGAAGCAAUAAUGGCCGAACAAGGAGCUUACUCAGUGAAUUCUGAACUGGAUAAUAUAAAUAAUCAAAUUGAACAACUUUACCGAGACAAUCAAAGGACCAUGAGUUCUAAACUCCAGAAUGAGCUACGAGGAUUUUAUCAAAUGAAAGAAGUGGUUAUCCAAAAUCACUAUCAGCAUGUUCUUGAUACGAAGGAAAAAAGCCUGGAUCUUAUGUUGAAGGAAGUGGAAAAACUUGUACUGAAAUUCCAUUCUUUCAGUGCAAAUGAAACCGCGAAUCUGCUUUCGAUCUUUAGCGAACAUCAUAGACUUAUAAAUGUGAAAUUAAUUGAAGCCAUUGCUGAAGAAGAGAAAUCCAGAUUAGUAAUAGAAAACAUGAGACAAGAAAUUAAGAUGCUAAAACACCAACUGCUUGAAAAGUCAGCAGAACUCCAGAGAAAAGAUAAGAGGUUGAUUGAACUGGAGAUAGCUGUUGAAAAUGCAAACCAACCACCACAGUUAUCUAACACUGAUCAGGCUUUGGAAACUCAAGCAGAAAGAAAACUGAAGCAUAUUUCAGAUAUUGAAAUGGAUAGCUUUAGCGAUCGAGAAGAAACACCGGCAACAGUUGAUAGUGAUAGCAGCAGCGUUGAUAGCAGCUAUCAUUCUUCUGAAUCACGCAUUCGUCACUCUCGCAAGACACACAAAAGAAACGAUACGCCAUGAAAUUUUGGAACGUGGUAAUAGAAGAAUGGAGUUUGAGGCCUCUUGUAAACCAAAGAGCAUUUUAAAUAACGCAACUCUCUAAAGAGAAACAAAAUUCUAUUUCAGCUUUUUAGUCCCUACUUGGAAUGAAACGCGUAAAUACAUGUAUACACUUACA
rnacentral:misc_RNA from 1 species